UCAGUAACGAGUAAUCUAUCGUGUUACUAUUUCCAAACCAGUAAUCAGUAAAGUUACUUGUCCAAGUCACUGUGCGUUACUAUUUUGUCAUUAAUAGUAAAAUAUAUAUUUGAUUUCUUCUUGCGUCUCUGGGAGUGAAGUCAUGUAGCCUAUGCGACAAUUAAGUCACGUUUUCAGCAUGAGGGUCACUCACCACUUUCCUCAAGCCCCUUUGCUCCGGUGCCAUCUCGAUUUGGUUAUAUGUGAAAAAUAAGAAAGACCAAUAAGAUUAAUAAACUAUUACAUGAACAAAUGCAACAAACCGCAACUAAAUCAAUGUUUUUUCUAAAAGUAAUGGUUCGCAAAUGAUCUCAGAUAUACUGUACUCGGGGCCUACGACUUGAGUCGUUUUUCCAAGUGCAUUCUUAGGUCAACAUUUCAAAAGAAACUCUUGUCUAUAAAUCAACAUUACACUUGUUUCAACUUAAAAUGUCAGGAGAUACAUUGUACAUUGUUGUUGUGUACAUUACUGUUAAAAAUGCACUUCUCUUAAAGUGAGUGUUGGCAAAACCGGGGUGUUGUCGGCAGCUGUUGAAUGUAACUAAUAAAGUAACUUGUAAUCUAAUUUAGUUACUUUUAA